AAACAGUUGGCACAUAAUCCUGUUUAACACAGAAUGCAAAUAGAAUUAUGCCAAUGGCAUUAUAUUUCAAAAAUAUUCACUUCAAAAGCUCUGUAGAAACAAGAAGAUUGUAUAAUGCUUUUGCAUUAAUUACCCAAAUCAGACAGCAUAAAUGCCAUGUUCUCAAUCACACCCCCAAAAUGAGGAAACAAAAAAGAAUCUUAAGCCGUGGAAAACAAAGAAAG
rnacentral:misc_RNA from 1 species